GGCCCAAACACAACCUAAUCCCUACGUCCCAAACACUACUUAAACCCUAAUUCAACAUGGAUGAAAGAUGUGGAUUUGAACUAUAUAACUUGUGGUGAUUUUUUUUUUUGUAUUAAAUUUGUUACAAAUUUAUAUUUAAAUUCUAUUUCGCGGGUAUCUGUUGGAUAGCGGGUGGCGGGUAUCCGACUAAUAGUGGAUGGCGAAUACCCGACAGGUAGCGGGUAUCCGCGGAUGGCGGGUUUGGAUAACAUUUGAUAUCCAUAGAUAGUUUCGUGGUUAAAAUCUACUAUCCAUUUAGUUUGCAGGUAUGGGUAUGGAUAAUCACUAUCCAUACCCGUCAUACUCGAUU
rnacentral:lncRNA from 1 species